rnacentral:rRNA from 1 species
ACCGAGUCUUAACUGGGCGUUAAGUUGCAGGGUAUAGACCCGAAACCCGGUGAUCUAGCCAUGGGCAGGUUGAAGGUUGGGUAACACUAACUGGAGGACCGAACCGACUAAUGUUGAAAAAUUAGCGGAUGACUUGUGGCUGGGGGUGAAAGGCCAAUCAAACCGGGAGAUAGCUGGUUCUCCCCGAAAGCUAUUUAGGUAGCGCCUCGUGAAUUCAUCUCCGGGGGUAGAGCACUGUUUCGGCAAGGGGGUCAUCCCGACUUACCAACCCGAUGCAAACUGCGAAUACCGGAGAAUGUUAUCACGGGAGACACACGGCGGGUGCUAACGUCCGUCGUGAAGAGGGAAACAACCCAGACCGCCAGCUAAGGUCCCAAAGUCAUGGUUAAGUGGGAAACGAUGUGGGAAGGCCCAGACAGCCAGGAUGUUGGCUUAGAAGCAGCCAUCAUUUAAAGAAAGCGUAAUAGCUCACUGGUCGAGUCGGCCUGCGCGGAAGAUGUAACGGGGCUAAACCAUGCACCGAAGCUGCGGCAGCGACGCUUAUGCGUUGUUGGGUAGGGGAGCGUUCUGUAAGCCUGCGA